CUUAGCUGGCACAGCCCAGGCAGCGCUACUCACAGAGAAUGAGGCUGCACAGAGAAGAUGGGGCUGCACAUCACAGAGGAUGAGCCAAGCACGGAUUCCAGCCCCAUCCCCUGUGAACAGCACUGGGCUUGGUGCUUGGCUAAAACACCUCAAACCCCUGUGAGCAGCACUGCCUGGCCUAUGCUAGCCAAGCACUAAGCCCACCCCAUCCAGUGCUAGUGGCACUGCCAAGUGCCAAACCCAGCCGUGCCAGCUGAGAACUGAGCCUGGUGCUGCUCGCAGGGGAUGGGACUGGGCUUGGCACUUGGCAGCGCCACUCGCAACAGACAGGGACAGGCUUGGUGCUCGGCUGCUACAGCCCCAUCCCCUGCAAGUGGCACCAGGCUCAGGACUCAGCUAGCGCAUCCCAGGCAGCACCACUCACGGGAUGGGGCUGUGCUCACCAAGCACCGAGUCUGGUCCUGGUUCUGUUUGCUGUGAGCAGUGCUAUGGCACUUGUUCACCCCCUGGGUACCUGGCACCGCUUGCAGGAGACAGGGCGGAGCUCGGUGCUCAGCGCUAGAGCCCAGUGCCACUUGCAGGGGAUGGUGAUAUGGUGUAUAAGUUGAGGUUGACUUUUAAGAGUUAAAAAUUGGGCUGCAAAACUUAACAUAUGCACUGUGAAAUAUGGUAUUCAUCAAUAGUGUAGCAAUUUAACUUUAUGGAACUGAAGUGCAGCCACACCACUUUUAAUCCCCUGCCCGACACUGGGCUUCAAUCCCCUUGCCCAACGCUGGGCCUCACAAUCCCCUUGCCCAACGCUGGGCCUCACAAUCCCCUUGCCCAACGCUGGGCCUUAAUCUGCUUAUCACCUUGCCCCAGGAACUGCACAUCUAGCUCCCUAGUAGGCUUAGGGCCCCACCCCCCUGCAGCUUCACACUAGGCUCCUACAUGCACCUCACUACUCGCAGUGAGCCUGGUCACUUCCUGAUCUGGGCCCUGCCUCAGGACUUACUGUGAGCCUGGGCCCUUGCUUUGGCUUUGGGUGUGCUCCCCUAGCCUUUCCCCUCCAUGGGGUCACUAGCAAGGUAGCAGGGGCUGAGGCUUUCUGGCACCCCAUACCUGCCCUUCACUGAGAAGGCACAGGUAUGGCAUUUUCUGGAGAGUGCCCUGCCACCAGCAGUCCCACCACAGCAUCCAGCCCCAGCAGGGUGUAGUUUUAGGUCAGGCCCCAGGACUAGGAGUCUCCACCUUCCACAUAGCUCCUUCCCUAUACCUCCAAGAUGUUAUGAGCAGCAGCUCCAACUGCGUGAUUCUUGCUCUCUGGUUGCUGGCGAGCAAACUGCCAGCGCUGCUGCUCAGGGCCUGCUUUUAUCCCAAGCAGCUGGGCCCUGCUCCCAAUCAGGCAGUUAUGCCUGAUUGGGAGUCUAGCCACCUGCAAGCUGCUGUGCUGCUGGCCCAUGCCCCUGUGAGUAACAGAGCACAUCUUGUGCUGUUACAGCCUCCUUUAACAAAAUCUGGAUGUUUAAGUGGCUGAGUUGUUUUUUGGUGGGCAAGGGGUGUGCUGGUCACUGCUGGGGUAUAGCAGCUAGCAAUUUAGUAACUGCAAGUGCACUCCUCCUACAACCUGUCCUUAUGCUGAAAUAUAUUACUUUGGGGCAAGUUCCAAGCAGAUAUAAAGAGGUAAUAGGGGGCCUUAGAUAUGGAAGUUGUUCCCAGUGGAGUUCAAACUUAGCUCUAUGUUUGCCUUAGUCUUAAACCUGAAAGUUUUACUCUAGCACAGCAGUGGAAAUGCCAACCAUGUUUCCUUGCAGGUAGAUCUAUAUCCCAUUUGGGAAAGUACCCUGUUUAGAAAGCAGAAGGUAACGUUUUUCCCUGGGUGUGUCUACACAAAAUGCUAUGUCACCAUAGCUUGCUAAGGCAAUGUAGUAUCAGCAGGCACAAACCAUGAUGUUAAUGCUACUGUGCGGUAGCGGUGAGCUACAGUAGCUUGUUGCUAUUGUGCAGUUGCAUGGGAAAAGACCCGUGUGGCAUCCAGACUGCACAGUAACAUUGGUUACUGUGCAGUCAUUUAAUACCUGCUUAAGCAAGUACUAAGUGACUACACAGUAACAACAGCACAGCCCAGUGCACAUUUAGACAUGCCUCCUUUGUAGAAAACAAAUGUAUUUCUAAUCCAUGUUAAGAAAGAAUAGAUAAGAUAGUGAUGAGUCCCACAAAAAGGUAAUAGUAAUGCACAUUGAUUGUUUGUAGUGGUGAUCAAAUCCUGCCCCAUCUGCAGACGUGGAAGGUCCUAAAUACAGAGAAAUCACAACACUUCUGAUGUAAAAGGUCUGGGUACUCUAACCUUUGUGUACACAGUAGAGUGUUAUUUUGUGAUUUUGGCCUCUGAAGGAAUAUGGAGAUGGUAUUUGAUGAUGGACCAGUGAGUGGCUAUUGGUAGGCAUGUGGGCCCAUGCCUAUGCAAAAAUUCAGUAGAGAAAAUCUGUGCAUGGAUAGAUAGCAAUGAUGGUAGCUAGCUACUAUUACAGCCAAAGAAGUAUAGAAACAGCUGGAACAAAAUUCAAGGGUGCAAAAUUCAGUCUUAAAUACUGAAGAGACCCCCAGAACACUUAAGAUUUCCUUUCUUCUGCUGAUUGUUUCAUGACAUCUUUAACUACCAUAGCAGUAAAUCUUGAAAGAUUCCUAUAGAACACAUUUACAUAAAAACAGCUUCCCUGUACCAUGCUAAUUCUCAGAUAACUUUGGAAGAUUGAUUUAAAAUUCCGAGUUAUUAUAAGACAACUUUACUUUAUUUCUCAUAUCACACAAAACUAUAGUUUGUUGUGUCAUAUUGCAGCUUGUCAUCAGCCAUGCACUACAAUUUUAUAGUCCUGUUAAAAUUGCAUCUACUUCAGACUCCCUUAGACUGGGUAUUUACUCUCAUAACUGGUUAUUCCUUGGCUCACUAUGAGAAAAUACACUUUCAGUAUUAAUUAAAGUAUACAUAUGGUCACAAACACAUAUGGUCUCCUCAGUAAAAAUUCAGAGUUCCAAUUGCAAAAGCUUGCUGUUAUGUUAAAAUCCAAACUGCUCCUGAUCAACAUUAAGCAUUUUCUUCUCUUUUUUUGGUCCAAUCACCAAUGCAGCUCCACUGGUUUUGAACACUAUUCUAGACUGGUCACUGAAUGUUUCAUUGUCUAGACCUGCCUGUGCUUCUAAGCAGUUUACAAUCCCUAUGAAGUGAUCCGAUUACACCAAGAAUGAAUUUAGCCUUUCUGUAAUAAUCACAUGGAAAUGGAGCAUAUCUACAUAGUAACGUUUAUUUCCAUUUUCAGCACCCUUAAGAGCAAGACUUCAACCUCGUCCCAAAAGAUGAACCCUAGUUAUUAUAUGACAGAGUAAUUACCAGCAGUAUGUAAGUUGCCACAGAAGUGUGUAUUCUAGAAGUGUUUAAUGUGCAGCUACCAUUGGUGCCUCCUGAAAGAGUACUACAGCAAGGCACACACUUAUUUUUCCAGUAAGUUGAUAAUUAUUCCAAUAAGUGAUGCUGUAAGCAUAACUGGAGAAAUCAAGAUUGUUUCAAAUAGGCUUCAGGUAGGAUGAGAAAUAUGUAAGGAUCUCUUAUGAAAAGAGCUGACUUAUCUGGUCCACCAUUCGGGAAGGUAAGUAUAUUACCUGGAUUGCACUGUGAAUUAUUUACCCGAGUACACUUUCCAUUAUAACAAUGAAGCUUUACAGUAGUGAUUCAUAACCAAAUGGCACAAGAUCCUUUAAUGGGUACCAUGCAAUAUUAGUGCUGUUAGGUGUGCAAACACCUACAUGCGAGUCACAAGAAAAACCCAAAGAUUUGAAUAGGAAUCAAAAUCACAAAAUCAUAGAAAAUUAGGGUUGGAAGGGAUCUCAGGGGGUCAUCUAAUCCAACUCCCUGCUCAAACCAAGACUAUCCUCAACUAGAUCAUUCCAGCCAGGGCUUUGUAAAGCCAAGCCUUAAAAACCUCCAAGGAUGGAAACUCCACAACCUCUCUAGGUAACUGGUUCCAGUGCUUCACCACUCUCCUAGUGAGAAAGAUUUUCCUAAUAUCCAACCUAAACCUCCCUUGCUGCAACUUGAAACCACUGCUUCUUGUUCUGUCAUCUGUCACCACUGAGAACAGUCUAGCUCCAUCCUCUUUGGAACAACCAUUCACGUGCCCCUCUCCACCCCACCCUAAGAGCAAGCGCUCUCGGCUUAGGUGAUGGGCAGGGGGGCAGGCAGAGUGCUGGUGCCCCACCCCCACGAGAAGUGCUGCCAGCACUUGCGGGCUCAGAGUCUAGAUGCUGCCCCCCCCCGCCCCCCCACCACGGCCACAUGCAGAGGGUCCCUGCUCGGCCCACCGUUGCCGCCAAUGCCUGUGGGAAGUCACCAUGCCCCCCCAGCCUCAGGAGGCACAUGUCACCUAUGUUCAGGUAGUUAAAGGCUGCUAUCAAAUCCCCUCUGUCUUCUCUUCUCCAAACUAAAUAAACCCAGUUCCCUCAGCCUCUCCUCAGAAGUCAUGUGCCCCAGCCCCCAAACCAUUUUCAUUGCUCUCUGCUGGACUCUGUCCAACUUGCCCACAUCCUUUUUAUAGUGGGGGGGGAGGGCAAAACUGGACACAGUACUCCAGAUGUGGCCUCACCAGUGCAGAAUAGAUACAGCAGAAUAAUUACUUCCCUCAAUCCGCUGGCAAUGCUCCUACUAAUGCAGCCCAGUAUGCUGUUAGCCUUCUUGGCAACAAGGGCAUGCUGCUGACUCGUAUCCAUCUUACUGUCCACUGUAACCCCCAGGUCUUUUUCUGCAAACCUGCUGCUUAGCCAGCCUGUCCCCAGGCUAUAGCGGUACAUGGGAUUCUUCCAUCCUAAGUGUAGGACUUUGCACUUGUCCUUGUUGAACCUCAUGAGAUUUCUUUUGUCCCAAUCCUCCAAUUUGCCUAGGUCACUCUGAAUUCUAGUCCUACCUUCCGGCAUAUCUACACCUCUUAGGUUGGUGUUAUUUGUGAACUUGCUGAGGGUGCAAUCCAUCACAUCUUCCAAAUUGUUAAUGAACAUAUUGAACAAAACUGGCCCCAGGACUGACCCCUGGGGCACUCCACUUGAUACCAGCUGCCAGCUAGCCAUUGAGCCAUUGAUUACUAUCCAUUGAGCCCAACAAUCCAGCCAGCUUUCUAUCCACCUUACAAUCCAUUCAUCCAGCCCAUACUUGCUUGCAAGAGUGCUGUGGGAGAUGGUAUCAAAAGCCUGGCUAAAGUCAAGGUAUAUUAUGUCCACUGUGUUCCUCGUAUCCACAGAGCCAGUUAUCUCAUUACAGAAGGCAAUCAGGUUGGUCAUGUUCAGACAUGACUUGCCCUUGGUGAAUCUAUGCUGACUGUUCCUAAUCACAUUCUUCUUCUCCAAGUGCUUAGAAAUGGGCUCCUUGAGGACCUGCUCCAUGAUUUUUCUGGGGACUAAGGGAAGGCUGACUAGUCUGUAGUUCCCUGGAUCCUCCUUCUUCCCUUUCUUAAAGAUGGCCACUAAAUUUACCCUCUUCCAAACAUCCGGGACCUCCCCCAAUCACCACAAGUUUUAAAAAAUGAUGGCCAAUGGUUCUGCAGUCACAUCAGCCAACUCUCCUGGCAUCCUCAGGUGCAUCCUAUCUGGUCCCAUGGACCUGUAUAUAUCCAGCUUUUCAAAAUAGCCCCUAACCUGUUCUUUUGCCACUGUUGGCUGCUCACCUCCUCCCCAAACUGUGCUGCCCAGUGCAGUAGAAUGAGAACUGACCUUGCCUGUGAAGACUGAGGCAAAAAAGGCAUUGAUUGAGCACUUCAGCCUUUGCUGCAUCCUCUAUCACAAGGUUGCCUCCCCCAUUCAGUAAGGGACCCACACUUCCCCUGACCAUCCUCUUGUUGCUAACAUACUUAUAGAAAUUUUUCUUGCUAGCUGCAACUCCAAUUGCACUUCGGCCUUCCUGACUUCAUUCCUGCAUGUCUGAGCAACAUUCUUAUACUCCUUACAAGUUAUUUGUCUAAGCUUCCACUUCUUGUAAGCUUCCUUUUUGUGUUUAAGCUCACCAAAGAGUUCUCUGCUAAGCUAAGCUGGUCACUUCCCACAUUUGUACUUCCUGCACAUUUGGAUGGUUUGUUCUUGCACCUGGCCUCCCAGGGGAUCCUGCCCAUCAGUUCCCUGAGGGAUUCAAAGUCUGUUUUUCUGAAGUUCAGGGUUCAUAUGCUGAUGCUGUCCUUUCUUCCUUUUGCCAGGAUCUUGAACUCAAUCAUCUUGUAGUCACUGCUGCCCAACUUGCCAUCCACUUCUACAUCCCCCACCAAUUCUUCCCUGUUUGUGAACAGUAGGUCAAGAAGAAUGUGGCCCCUAGUUGGUCUCUCCAACAUUUGCACCAGGAAGUUGUCUCCAACACUCUCCAAAAAUGUCCUGGAUUGCCUGUGCACUGCUAUAUUGCUCUCCCAGCAGAUGUCAGGGUGAUUGAAGUCCCCCAUGAGAACCAGGACCUGUGAUCUGGAAACUUCCACUAGUUGUCUGAAGAAAGCCUCGUGUACCUCAUCCUCUUGGUCUGAUGGUCUAUAGCGCACACCCACCACAACAUCACCCUUGUUGCUCUCCCCUCUUACCUUUACCCAGAUACUUUCAACAGGCCUAUCUCCAGUUUCAUACUGGAGCUCUGAGCAAUCAUACAGCUCUUUCACAUACAGCACAACUCAUCAUCCUCUUCUUCCCUGCCUGUCCUUCCUGAACAAUUUGUAUCCAUCCAUGACAGUUCUCCAGUCAUGUGAGCUAUCCCACUAAGUCUCUGUUACUCCAAUUACAUCAUAGUUCCAUGACUAUGUGAGGACUUCCAAUUCAUAGAUUCACAGAUUCAUAGAUGCUUGGACCAGAAGGGACCUCAACAGAGUCCAACCCUCUGCCUAGGCAGGAAAGAGUUCUGGGUUCAGCUCUGGCAUCUUACUUAUUACCUCACCAAUGUGAUGAGGUAAUAAGUAAAGCUAACCACACUCUUUCUUGCAUAAGUAGGUGCAUCACAAACAGGUCUAGGGAGGUGAUAGUUCCCCUCUAUGCGGCAUUGGUCUGGUCGCAGCUGGAGUACUGCAUCCAGUUUUGGUCACUGCACUUCAGGAGGGAUGUGGAUUUUUCCUGAUACAUAGCCUAAGUCUGCUCUCUGUCAGUUUGUGACCAUUGUUCCUUGUUACCCCAAGAGGCGCCCUGGUGAACAGAACAUCUAUGAAUCUAUGAAUCUAUGAACAUCUCCAAUCCCUUGCUGCAUCCCCCUACUGAAUUUGUAGGUGGCCACAAGAUCACCUCUCAGCCUUCUCUUGCGGAGGCUGAAGAGGUCUAGGUCCCUGAGUCUCUCCUUGGCCUGCAAGCCCCUAACCAUACAAGUGGCCCUCCUCUGGACCCUUUUGAGUCUAUCAACAUCCUUCUAGAAGUAUGGCACCCAAAACUGGACACAGUACUCCAACUGCAGUCUGACCAGUGCCACAUAGAGGGCAAGUAUCACCUCCUUGGUGGUUCUUCCUGCUUGUUUCCCAGGAUCUGUGCAUUUGUGCAUUGGCGACGUGUAGGGGGUGCAUGUGGAUGCACAUGCACCCCCUGAGUGUGGCAGUGCACCCACUAUGAAAAGGUGCCACCGACAGUGUCAGUGGUGCUUGUGGGCGGUUGUUGCUCACCACCCCUCCCCCCCCCCGCUACCGCCAACACUGCCGGCAGCGUCUGCGGGUGGUCACUGACCCCUGGUCAGUACUCAUCAACCCCCACCACCAACAGUGCCAGCAGCGUCUGCGGGAGCUCCCCACUUACCGCCACUGUGCUCCUGCUGCCACCAGUGCUGCCAUGCCCCCCCAGCCUCCGGGGGCACAUGUCAUUCAUUCAUGCAAUCAUGUACAGGCACCUGAUGUAACUAGCCAAUUGCCCUACUUUCUCAGGAAGAAUGAACCUCCCCUGUUGCCCCCUCCUGCUUCUGCUUCUUCCAAGUCCCCGACUUCCCCACUUACCUCAGGGUAAGUAACCUUUCUGAGUUUCUUGCAAGAGAUAAAUUGCUCUAGUUUUAUUUUUCCAUAGUCAAGAAACAGAUCAAAGCUAAGUGCUGGCAUUUUCUGAGGGAUGCCGUAAGUCUAGAGAGGGAUGUCUUGAAUCUAGAAAAGUUUGAGAACCACUGCUAUACAGUGACAUGUUUUUGCUGUAGACAGGAUGAUGUCAAGUUUAUGCUCUGUGUCUCCCUUGUACAUCAUACAUGCCUCAAGGCUGGCAUAAUGGAUUUAGUUGUAACAGCAAAAGCAUAUAUAAACAUAGGCAUUUUCAGGUAUUUUUAGCUUACAAAUGGGUUCAUAACAUUAUCUAUAGCAUUCGUUGUGACUACAGGCCUGAGAGAACUAGGAUUGAUUUAGAUGGAGUCAAUCAGGCCAGCUAUCAUCAAAUAAAUACUCCUACUCUGUCAUAACACAUACUUCUGCAGCUUCUGAAAGCAGAUUCAUAGCUUGUAUGUUGUUCUUUGGCAUGAAAUAACAACAGUGAACCUACAUACUUUAACCAAUCAUUUGAGGGCUGACUAUUCAGCCUUCUUCAUCCUUGGUGCUUUUAAUUAUAAAGUUACAACAACAGUGUCGUUUGAUAUUUGCAAUGAGACCAUUUACAGAACAGCUGAAUAUACCAGAUUGUGAGAAUUCAAUAUAAUUUACUAUUUUACAGACAUGGGCAGAUCUAGAAUUUUGAAAAGGGGAGUGCAUGUGGUGAUGUGCAUCAUCACAUAGAAAACAACACAUAUUUUUCUCCCGUUAAAAAUAAACUAGAAAUGUUACUAAUAUCCUAUUUAAGCAACAACAAAUAUAACUUUAUUGGAAAGAGUUAAAAACAAUCUGCAGGGCUGUGAAAUGAAAGCUUCAUUACCAAGAGACAGCAACAUUUCAGAACAAAGGAUAGCUUUAUUAGUGGAACUUCAAGACCCUUAAAAAGAAGAAAGGAUUGUUAACACCCAUGGAAUGAAGAGUUUAUAAGGGAUCAGGUAGAUUGUAAUGAACUGUGACAUCCUCAGCAUUGCCUGACUUGAAAUGCUGCUGUCACUGCCAGGCAGUUGUCUUUAAACUUUGGUUGGAGCAGGAAUCAAGGAGAUAUGGCAAGUGUACCAGUGUAGCCCUCCUGGAUCCACCCAUUUGCAGAACUGUCUGUUAAAAGUGAAAACAAAAACCAAAAUGGACUUGUGCCUUUCUGGUUUGUUAUGAUGAAUGAAGAAGUUGGGAUGUAUUUCCCCUUUUCCUUCCUAACCCCUCCGAAACAGCAUUUAUAUUAAAUGUUUUCUGGAAAACUAUGGGAUGAUUGGAAAAGAAGUUAAAUGACAAUAAGAACAGAGCCAACAGAUUGAAAGGCGUGCAACUGAGAAGAUGAUACCCGAGGAUAACGUAGCUGCUAGAGACUACAGGACAAAACGAUCUAUUUCUACAGCUCUUGAUGGACUCCAUUUCCUCGUCUUCUCCUGGUUAGGUCUUCACCCUCAUUUGGAACCAUAGCUCCUCUGUGCUCUUUCUGUUGACUAAACCCCACCCAUGAUGCUAACGUUGGUGCUUCUGUCUUCCCACUGGAUUUGGAGGAUCUUCCUCAGGCGGUGUUGAUGGUACUUCUCCAACAACUUUAGAUGUCUCCUAUACAUUGUCCAUGUCUGAGCUCCAUACAGCAAGGGAUGACCCAGUUGCAGAACAUUAAAUUACUGGUUACAUCAAAACAAAUUCUGUGUUCAAAAUCUCCCACAUCUUCCUAAAAGCCUUUCACAGUGACAUCUUCACUACUUUCUGCAUCAGCUCAAGCACUGAUUCCACCAGAUGAACCUGAUCCCGUCAUCUGUACUCAACCCAAAUUCCAACUGAAUUAAGAUGGUAGGACUCCAACCUCUAGGGCUCUAGUACAUCAGUGAACUUAAACACUUGAAGAAGGAUGUGGACAGACUGGAAAGAAUCCAGCAAAGAGGAACAAAAAUGAUUAGGGGCCUGGGAAGCAAGACUUAAGAGGAAAGGCUGGAAGAACUAGGGAACUUUUGUCUGGAGAAGAGAAGACUGAGGGGGGAUUUGAUAAUAGUCUUCAAAUACCUGAAGGGCAAUUAAAAAAAAUGGAGAUGGUCUUUUCUUUGUGGCUAUAGGGCUAGGAGCGAUGGCCUGAAGUUGCAGCAGAGGAAAUUUAGGAUAGAGAUUCAGAGGAACUUUUUGACUAUGAGGGUGGCCAAGCAUUGGAACAAGCUACCUAGAGAAGUUGUGGAAUCUCCAUCCCUGGAAAUUUUCAAGAGCAGAUUGGACAGACAUGUGGCUGGGAUGAUUUAGUCAGGGACCAUCCUUCCUUGAGCAGGGGGCUGGACUAGAUGACCUUAUGAGGUUGCCACCAGCCCUGCUUUACUAUGAUCCUAUGUUCAUACUUCCAUUGGCUUCAAGGAGGGGUGUGAAAAAGGUAUUCAUAUCCUAAGAAUUAAACACAUAUUUAAAUACUUUCCUGAAUCAGAAGAGAUUUCAGGAUUGGGCCCUGAGUUUCUGAACUUUUCUCUGUGUGUCUGCAUUUGAUUCUAAUUUCCUAUGGGCAGAAAAAGUAUGUUAUAGCACUGACCUUAACGUGUUUGUGCAGGUCUUCAAUCCCCUUGGCAGGUUAGAUAACGAAUACUGGUACAUUAAUUAAUACUGUAAAAUGCUUUGAAGGUGAAAAGAGUUAAUCAAGUGCCAAGUUGCACUGUUGUUACCAAGACAGCCUAAGGGGGAAGUCCACAGCAUAAUCAAGAAAGAACAAGGUAGGCAUGGAGAUCAGAUGGAAUUCACCAACCAGCGCAAGGUGGCAAAGGCCUGCAGCAAGGCAGCAGCCCUGGACUUCAGGAGGGCAGAUUUCAAUGAGGUAAGGAGAAUAGUCGGGGAGGCACUGAGGUCCCAGAGUGGAGGGGAGUCGGGUGUCCAGGAAGAGUGGUCGUUCCUUAAGAAGACAAUCCUCCAAGCCCAAAGGGAGGUAAUCCCAAUGCGGAUCAAAGAGGGCAAGAGAGCACAAAAGCCCCCAUGGCUCACCAAAAGCAUACGGGAACAUCUAGCUACAAAGGAGGCGUACAUCCAAUGGAAGGGAGGGGCCAUCACCAGGGAGGACUAUACCUCAGUUGCUCGGAGCUAUAGGGGGGCAAUCAGGAAGGCCAAGGAGGAUAUGGAACUUGGACUAGCUACCCAGACCAAGGACAACAAGAAGUCCUUUUUUAAAUACAUAGGGGGUAAAAAGAAGGUACCAGGUAACAUGGGGCCUCUGCAGGACACACUAGGAAAUCUGGUCAUCACACCAGAGAGCAAAGCUAACCUAUUUAACAAUUUCUUUGCCUCCAUAUUUCUGAGCAGGGACCAGGUCACCUCCCCCACUGGGACCCCCAUAGGUCCCAGGGGAGGCACACCCAUGCCUAGGGUCAGUGAGGACCUAGUCAGGGAACUUCUGGAGAGACUGGAUGUAUUUAAAUCAUCAGGUCCUGAUGAUCUCCACCCCAGAGUGCUGAGGGAAUUAGCAGAGGUCAUUACGGGACCCCUGGCAUGGCUUUACGAGCACUCAUGGUGCUCUGGUGAGGUGCCAGAGGAUUGGAAAAGGGCCAAUGUGGUUCCCAUUUUCAAAAAAGGGAGGAAGGAGGACCCAGGAAACUAAAGGCCAGUCAGUCUUACCUCGGUCCUGGGUAAGCUUUUUGAGAGAGUUAUCCUGGCGCACGUCCGCGAGGGGCCAGCAGGGGAGAUUAUACUUAGGGGCAACCAACAUGGGUUCAUUAGAGGCAGGUCCUGUCAGACCAACCUGGUGGCCUUCUAUGACCAGGUCACAAAAUCCUUAGACGCAGGUGUACCAGUGGACGUAAUCGUUCUGGACUUUAGGAAGGCCUUCAACACUGUCUCUCACCCCAUCCUCAUUAAAAAACUAGGGGACUGUGGCAUUGACACCUACACAGUCAAAUGGGUCACUAGUUGGCUGGAGAUCCACACCCAGGGAGGUGGUGGACGGGUCAUUUUUGACCUGGAGGGAUGUGGGCACUGGGGUUCCACAGGGCUUGGUCUUCGGGCCUGCGCUGUUCAACAUCUUCAUCAGCGACUUGGAAGGGGGUGUAAAAAGCACCUUGUUCAAAUUUGCAGAUGACACUAAAAUGUGGGGAGAAGUGGGCACUCUAGAAGGGAGGAAUAGGCUGCAAUCAGACCUAGACAGGUUACAGGGGUGGGCGGAUGAGAACAGGAUGGAUUUCAACACUGACAAGUGCAAGGUACUGCACCUGGGGAGGAAGAACCAGCAGCACACCUACAGGCUGGGGAACUCCCUUCUCGUCAGUGCAGAGGCAGAAAAGGAUCUUGGAGUCAUUAUUGAUGCCAAAAUGAACAUGGGCCGACAGUGUGGAGCUGUUCACUUGUCCAGAGGCCCAGGAAAUAUGGGGAAAACAACAAUCUACAUGAAAUUAGUCCCGAACAGGUGAAGGUACUCUUAGAACAUUUGGAAGUGUUCAAGUCUGUUGAGCUAGAUGACCUGCAUAUGAGAGUCUUGAAAGAACUGGCUAAGCUCAUAGCAGGGCCUCUGGCGAAGCUGUUUAAAGAGUCAUGGAACUUGGGAGUGGCCCUGAACGACUGGAAGAGGGGUAAUGAGAUACCCAUCUUUAAGAAAGGGAAGAGGGACGACCCUGCAAACUAUAAACCAGUCAGUCUGGGGAAAAAUCUUUGAAAAAAUUGUCAAGAAGGCCAUCAACCACAAGCUUGUAACUGGUGGGGUAUUAAGAAACAAUCAGCAUGGCUUUGUUGAGAGUAGAUCAUGCCUAACAAACCUGGUGUCCUUUUAUGAUCAGGUAACUAAUCAGCUGGACAAGGGAUAUAAGGUUAAAAUCAUUUACCUAGACUUCAGCAACGCCUUUGAUACUGUUUUCGAUGAGAUUCUUUCAAUUAAGCUAGAGGGUGCUGGCCUAGACCAGUCUACAGUGAGGUGGGUUGGCAAUUGGCUCAGAGGCUGAUCCCAAAGCGUUGUAAUUGAUGGGAUGGCCUCAUCCUGGAGGGCCAUCUCCAGUGGUGUCCCCCAGGGGUCACUGCUUGGGCCAUGCUCUUUAACAUCUUUAUCAAUGACUUGGAUGAGGGGGUAAAAAGCUCAACAAUUAAGUUUGCAGAUGACACUAGGCUGUGGGGAAAUGCAGGCACAUUUAAGGAUAGGGCAAGGAUCCAGGAUGACCUUGACAGACUGGUCCUAUGGGCAGAACGUAAUCAGAUGAGGUUCAAUAGGGACAAGUGCAGGGUCCUUCAUCUGGGGAGGAAGAACCUUCACCACAACUAUAUGAUGGCUGGUGGUCCACUGGCUGGCACUGCAUCUGAAAGGGACCUGGGGGUGACACUCGACCAGAAGAUGAAUAUGAGCCAACAGUGUGAUGAAGUUGCCAGCAGAGCAAAUAGAACUCUGGCGUGUAUCAGCUGAUAUGUUGCAAACAGAUCCAGAGACAGGCUUCUCCCCCUUUAUUCGGCUUUGGUGAGGCCACAGCUGGAGUACUGUGUCCAGUUCUGGGCACAUCACUUCAGAAAGGAUGUGGAUAAGCUCAAAAGGAUACAGAAAAGGGCCACCUGCAUCAUUAGGGGCCUGGAGGUUAGGCCCUAUGAAGAGGGACUCCAGGAACUGGGUUUCUUCAGUCUGAGCAAGAGAAGACUGAGAGGUGACUUGAUAUCUUGAUAGCUGCCUACAAGUAUGUUAAGGGUGAACACCAAGAUCUAGGGGAGCAACUCUUCAGAAAGGCACCCCUUGGGAGGAUGAGGCCCAAUGGGCACAAGCUAGUUGAGGAAAAAUUUAGGCUGGACAUAAGGAAAAACUUCUUUUCUGUAAGGGUAUCUAGAAUCUGGAACACACUCCCAGCAGAGGUAAUGCAGUCACCAUCCUUGGAGGUAUUCAAGAGGAGGCUGGACAAACACCUCGUUGAGCUCGUUUGAGCCCAAUUACCUCCUGCUCAUAGCAGGGGACCGGACUUGAUGAUCCUCCAGGUCCCUUCUGGUCCUUUGAUUCUAUGAUUCAUAUUUUUCUUGAUAUCUUAAUAUUUUAUUGGCAUUAAAUGUCACCAUUGAAUAUA